CUGGCGAGCGCCUGUCAGAGGACCUACAAAAUCUGUGUUAGUGUUGUCUGAGUAUCAUUUAAUAAUUAAAACUUUCAACAACGGAUCUCUUGGUUCUGGCAUCGAUGAAGAACGCAGCGAAAUGCGAUAAGUAAUGUGAGUUGCAGAAUUCAGUGAAUCAUCGAAUCUUUGAACGCACAUUGCGCCCUCUGGUAUUCCGGAGGGCAUGCCUGUUCGAGCGUCAUAAGACCACUCAAGCCCAGCUUGGUGUUGGGACGCGCCCCGGCGCUCCUCAAAAUCAGUGGCGGCUCGGCUCAGCUUCAUGCGUAGUAAAAUGUCUCGCUAUGGACGCUGGGCUGGCGCCUGCCAGAAGCCUAAUUUUUACAGGUUGACCUCGGAUCAGGUAGG
rnacentral:rRNA from 1 species